rnacentral:rRNA from 1 species
UACGUAGGGUGCGAGCGUUAAUCGGAAUUACUGGGCGUAAAGCGUGCGUAGGCGGUUCGUUAUGUCUGAUGUGAAAUGCCCGGGCUUAACCUGGGAACUGCAUUUGUGACUGCAUGGCUAGAAUCUGGCAGAGGGGGGUAGAAUUCCACGUGUAGCAGUGAAAUGCGUAGAUAUGUGGAGGAACACCGAUGGCGAAGGCAGCCCCCUGGGUCAAGAUUGACGCUCAUGCACGAAAGCGUGGGGAGCAAACAGG